ensembl:snRNA U6 U6 spliceosomal RNA
GUGGUGCCCGCUUCAGCAUCACAUAUACUAAUAUUAGAACAGUAUAGAGAAGAUUAGCAUGGCCCUUGAACAAGGGUGACGUGCGAAUUUGUGAAGCCUUCCAUAUUUUU